CUUGAGGGAGCCAAGUUACCAGUGGAUCUUUCCCUGGAGCAGUGAGGAGCCCACACAGAGGGCAAAAGAACCAGGCUAGAGGCUAAACUUCCAGAAACAUCCUAUGACUAUUCCGUCAGACUAGUCUGAUGGGGAUGUGCUGCCGCCACCAUGCACUUGCCGCUGUAAUCUGUUCUGCUGCGAAGUCUACACCAGGAACUAGACUUGCUCCUUGACCAAAAUCUAAGUCCAGUGCCAAGCACAUGAGUGGUGAGGAAGAGGACAGCUGUGGCUUCGGUCAUCACAGUCAGAUGGCUUUGUCCUCUGAGCUUCUUUCCAUCCCAGCACCUCCACAUGGCAACAUGGAAUCACUGAGAAAUCUCCUCCCCAGCGAACCGCAAACGUUCAACGGCUUUCUGCUCCUUGCUUCUAUCAAGCCAUGCCCUCGACACCUGAAAGGAAGAUGAACUACCUGCUAACAAUGCACUUUUGGAAUCCAGUUCUGCUACCAGGGAAGCAACCAGUUGCCCCGAGAUUCCACCAGGAGAAAACAAGCCUGCAAUUCCAAUUAAACACCGUAUUGAGUA